rnacentral:rRNA from 1 species
GUCCACGCCGUAAACGAUGGGUGCUAGCCAUAUCGGGUGUUGACCCAAAGGUGUGGCGAAGCCAACGCGUUAAGCACCCCGCCUGGGGAGUACGGUCGCAAGAUUAAAACUCAAAGGAAUUGACGGGGGCCCGCACAAGCGGUGGAGUAUGUGGUUUAAUUCGAAGCAACGCGAAGAACCUUACCUAGCCUUGACAUGCCAGGAAGCCUGAUGAAAGUUGGGUGUGCUCGCAAGAGAGCCUGGACACAGGUGCUGCAUGGCUGUCGU